UCUGACGGCCAUAGCGGUGGUGAUCACCCGUUCCCAUUCCGAACACGGAAGUUAAGCCCACCCGCGUAUUCGGCGGUACUGUGGUGCGCGAGCCCACGGGAAUCCGAGUACGCCGUCAACU
rfam:Marine Group III euryarchaeote CG-Epi2 CG-Epi2-C18, whole genome shotgun sequence.